GGGGCUGUAGCUCAGCUGGGAGAGCACCUGCUUUGCAAGCAGGAGGUCGCCGGUUCGAUCCCGUCAGCUCCACCA
rnacentral:tRNA from 1 species